UGGGUAACCUGCCCUGUACACACGGAUAACAUACCGAAAGGUAUGCUAAUACGAGAUAAUAUGCUUUUAUCGCAUGGUAGAAGUAUCAAAGCUUUUGCGGUACAGGAUGGACCCGCGUCUGAUUAGCUAGUUGGUGAGGUAACGGCUCACCAAGGCGACGAUCAGUAGCCGACCUGAGAGGGUGAUCGGCCACAUUGGAACUGAGACACGGUCCAAACUCCUACGGGAGCAG
rnacentral:rRNA from 1 species